rnacentral:lncRNA from 1 species
UCACAUUUGAUGGUGGUCUUGUCAUCUCCUACCUCUUUCUCGUAAAGCUGGCAGCUGAGGGAAUGAGAAUGUAACCAAGCUCUCCAACAAUCACUCUGAAAUAAGCAAACUUAAUUUCAACCAAUUGUUGUUGGAUGUUAACGACUGGCCUAAACUGUACUUUUUCUAGCAAGAAAUGCUUUUUGUCCACAGCGUGAAGUGAUUUAAAAGUACUGGGUGUUAAAUGUGAGCUUCUAAUGAAAUU